GAUGAACGCUGGCGGCGUGCCUAAUACAUGCAAGUCGAGCGAACAGACGAGGAGCUUGCUCCUCUGACGUUAGCGGCGGACGGGUGAGUAACACGUGGAUAACCUACCUAUAAGACUGGGAUAACUUCGGGAAACCGGAGCUGAUACCGGAUAAUAUAUUGAACCGCAUGGUUCAAUAGUGAAAGACGGUUUUGCUGUCACUUAUAGAUGGAUCCGCGCCGCAUUAGCUAGUUGGUAAGGUAACGGCUUACCAAGGCAACGAUGCGUAGCCGACCUGAGAGGGUGAUCGGCCACACUGGAACUGAGACACGGUCCAGACUCCUACGGGAGGCAGCAGUAGGGAAUCUUCCGCGAUGGGCGAAAGCUUGACGGAGCAACGCCGCGUGAGUGAUGAAGGUCUUCGGAUCGUAAAACUCUGUUAUUAGGGAAGAACAAAUGUGUAAGUAACUAUGCACGUCUUGACGGUACCUAAUCAGAAAGCCACGGCUAACUACGUG
rnacentral:rRNA from 1 species